rnacentral:tRNA from 1 species
GCCGGGGUGGCGAAAUUGGUAGACGCGGCAGACUCAAAAUCUGCUGGGCUUCGGCCCGUGCCGGUUCGAGUCCGGCCCCCGGUA